GGAGAAGCAAAGUGAUGAGCAAUAUUAGCUGGAGUCCCAAAAAGGCAUGAAUGUGUGUCUGUGUAUCUGUGUCCUUGUCUGUGCAUGCAUAUGUGUGUCUGAGUGUACGAAUGUGUGUGACUGGUUGUAGGGAACUAGCUAUAUGCCUUGUAUUGGGCCAUGACAGUCAAACUGAUAAGAUCUGAUUGCUUC
ensembl:snoRNA